rnacentral:lncRNA from 1 species
UCGCAGACGGCGGCGGCCUACAACAAGAUCUUCUCCUACUGCCUCCCAUCUUCAUCCAGCUACACCGGACACCUCACCUUCGGAUCCGCCGGAAUCUCCAGCUCCGUUAAAUUCACUCCGAUGUCCACGAUCAAAAACAGUCCAUCCUUCUACGGUCUCGACAUGAUCGGAAUCUCCGUCGGCGGUCAGAAACUGGAGAUUCCUCCGACGGUGUUCUCUACUCCGGGAGCUCUGAUCGAUUCCGGAACCGUCGUUUCUCGUCUCCCGCCGAAAGCCUACGCGGCGCUGCGAAGCGCGUUUAAGGCGGAGAUGUCGCAGUAUCCGACCGCGGCGGGCUUCUUGAUCUUGGACACGUGCUUUGAUUUCACCGGGUUUGAGACGGUGACGCUCCCGAGGGUGUCGUUUACCUUCAGCGGUAGCGUCGUCGUGGACCUUGAGCCGACAGGGAUAUUAUACUCGCCUACCACGUCGUAUUAUUGUUUGGCGUUUGCAGGGAAUGACGAUGACGGUAAAGCUGCCAUCUUCGGGAGCGCUCAGCAGCAAACGUUGGAAGUUGUGUACGACGGUGUGGGUGGGCGGGUCGGGUUUGCUCCAAAUGGUUGUAACUGACAGGUGGGUAUAUUUUUAUUUACGGAUUUGGCGCCAAAUUUGUUUUAUUAAUCAAGUGUGUAAUUUGUGUGAGAAAGUCCACGUAAUGGUCUUUUCAAAAAAAAAAAAAAGUCCACGUAAUGGUCUUUGAAGUGUAAAAUGUUAGUUUAUUUGACUAAUGAGCUGUUCGUUUGGUUGCCGCAGGUACCGCCGGCGGCGGCAGCGGCAGCGCCAAUAUUUUGUGUCAACUCUUGUUCGUUUCGUUGACGCAGGAAGCUGCGUCUGACGCCGCGUCCGAACACCGCGUCCUGCGGCUGACGCCGAUAAAACCUGCGGUCGUGAUAUAAUAUGUGGCAGCUUCAGCGGUAGCGUCUGCGUCUGCGAAACGAACAACAACUGUCUUCAUUGACGCUGCCGCCGCCGCUGCCGCUGACGCUGAAACCUGCGGCAACCAAACGAACAUGGUUUAAGUCUUUUGUUGUUUGAACAAGGCUCCUAGUUUGGAGUAGUAGCUGUUGAAACACUCCACUCUGUUUCAGUUGUAUUGCAAUGGCUAUUUAAAAACCUGAAUAAUAAGAACAAAGGUAAGGUUUUGUUCUAGCUUCUUCUCUCAAUUUAUAACAUAAUACACGUUUAUCGUAAAAGACCAAACUGUUAAUUUACAUUUUUACUCAAAUACAGUGAUGUUGAUGAACAAACUAAGAAUUUCAAUGGUGACACAUAUAAAAUAAAUAAAGAGCAAAAUUUUAGUGAUUCAUAUUAGAAAAACUGGGGAAAGAGGUCCCUUGAGAGCUAAUAAUACAAUUCAUAUUUUUGAUGAACAAUGAACAUUCUACUUCAAAGCGAAAAGGUUAUAUUGGUUUCUGAGUCUUGAAAAUGCUACAAGGAGAACAUAACAUGAGAAUAUCCACAUGGAUAUUCCUCCUCAUGAUAGGAUUGUCAAUGAACACAAGAUUUUUCUUCUGGUACAGUAACCAACUCGAGGAGGGGGUAGCCAUGAAACCCAGUCUGAUGCAUGUAGUUUUUUGGUUUUUGAAACUGACAAUGAAGAGGAAGAACAAAAAUCCUUCACACCCACAGUCCAAAGUCCAAACCCGUUUCUUCAAGUCGGAUUCGGAACCUUACUUUUUACACGGAUUCAGCUAUUAUUCGGAUGGGCUUUUCCGCAACGCAGGAAGUUAUCUAAUGGGCCUUUUAACAACCCAAACCCAUGCAGCUGUUCGGCUUCCAAACCGGUACGGGUUCGGUUUAAUCGAUAUUUCUGAGACAGUUUUUAUCCAACAAAGAAAUUAAUUGCUUGCCGCUAGUAACACGCUGCGAAUGAAUUAGUCGGUCCAAAUUAACACGCUGCGUUUUAGCUUCUCGACGCUAGGAAGAUAGCUGCAAUAUGCAGUUAUGCACACGCAAAGACUAACUAUAACAACAGACCAUCCAAUGUUAUUAUAUUUACAUGAACCUAGAAUCAAUUUAUUCUCAUAAGAUAAUACUCCUUUCAUUUCUCCCUUUACAUCAACCCACUAUAAACUAUGAGUGGAAAUUCGUAUUAAAUUUCUAUCUUAGUGGAAAACUCAUCGGAUAAAAACAUAAUCCAUGGUGGGACGAAAAGGAAAAGAAAUAAGUUCCCAUGAUACUAUUGCUACAUCAGCCAUCAGCUUUCUAUUUUCUAAGUAUAAAUCCAAAAAGGAAUUUCAGUUACAAAACCACAUUACUCUUUGUUAAAUGGUCUCUCUUUAUUUUUUUUUAAUAAGUGUACCACCACAAUAUUAUCUUUCUUGUAUGAGAAACUACUUAGAAUGACUCUAAACAAUCAUGAAAUAACUAGAGUAACUCUUAUAAAUUUGAAACUACUAGAAUAGCUUUCAGAACAUUGAAAUUUACGAUUUUGCCAUUAUUAAUAAUUAUACCAAAAUUGAAAAAAAGGAAUAAAGAAUUUACCUUUUGUCGGGGUUCGACAACGACAGAAACACAAACCCUCUCCUUGUCGUCUCCGUCAUCUCCAUCUCCGACCCUCUCUUUUUCGUCACAAAACCUCUCCUCGUCGUCUCCGUCAUCUCCAUCUCCGACCCUCUCUUUUCCGUCCCGAGAAACCCAAAUCGUUUUUGUCUCAGUCACAUCCGCCUUCGUCUCCGUCUCCUUGUUUAUGGACAAACCAAAAUCGAUUUCGGCUCAGUUACAUCCGCUUCAAUUGCAGCUUACUCUAAUCUGUGGGUCUUUAAUCUAUGCUAUUCGAGUUUUUGUUAUUGUUUAUUAGUUGAUUCCAAGUAAAAAAAUUGGAACCCUAAUUCCCAAUUUCUUCUAAACUUCAAAUUUCAAAUCAAUUUAAUUAAAAAACGUGAGAUUUGUGAAAGAUUCUAUCUGAUUGUUUGAAAUUGUUUCCUUUUCGGGUAUGAUGUUUUCAUCGGAUAGUAAUAUUGCUUCUUCUUUUUUUGUAGGUAUGGCUUCUUCUUCGGGUGCAAGAAAGUAUCCGAAAAGGCUGUAUGAUGUUGAUAAAACCCCAAUUCAGAGUAGGAGCAUGAACCAUAGUUGUUUUUUGGCCAACAUUCAAACGGUGCUAGAAGCUGUCGGAGAUGAUGUUGUGUCUGAGUUGAGGGAAUCAGCUGUUGGAGUGAUUCUGAAGCUAAAAGAGUUGGAAUACACUUGGUAUGCUUCUUGUGUUCACCAUUUUCUCGCCAAUCAAUUGGCUAUCGACAACAUUCAUGAGAUGUGGUUCUUGAUAGACUGUAUGCCGCUGCGGUUUUUUUUUGUACGAGUUUGGAGAGAUUACAGGGCUAAAUUGUGAUCCUUUCGACAAGAAUGAGAUUUGGGAUGUGGAGCAUGAAAGUUUUUGGCUGGAGAUGAACGUGCCCACAUCAGAAGGACCUACAUUGAAACAACUACAAGCCCUUUUUCCUAUUUGCAGAAACUGGUCUCGAGAGAAGCGAGUGAUGAUAGGUUUGUUGUGUCUGCUAUGCAUUGGGAUAUUUGGAAUUUCAAGCAACAGCAGAAUCCCUUUACAUUGUGCUAAAAGAGUGAUGGAUCCAGCAGCUUUCCAACGAUAUCCAUGGGGAAGUGUAGGAUUUACCAGCCUUCUUGAGUCUAUUAAAGUACUCACCUAUGAUGGAAAGAAGAGUUACACACUUCAUGGUUGUGUUCGUGAGCUCUUAAUAUGGGUUUUUGAGUUUGUCCCUGGUUUAGGAGAGAAAUUUGGGAAUCGGAGAGAAGGUGCUGGUGUCCCUCAUGGACAAACCAAAAUCGAUUUCGGCUCAGUUACAUCCGCUUCAAUUGCAGCUUACUCUAAUCUGUGGGUCUUUAAUCUAUGCUAUUCGAGUUUUUGUUAUUGUUUAUUAGUUGAUUCCAAGUAAAAAAAUUGGAACCCUAAUUCCCAAUUUCUUCUAAACUUCAAAUUUCAAAUCAAUUUAAUUAAAAAACGUGAGAUUUGUGAAAGAUUCUAUCUGAUUGUUUGAAAUUGUUUCCUUUUCGGGUAUGAUGUUUUCAUCGGAUAGUAAUAUUGCUUCUUCUUUUUUUGUAGGUAUGGCUUCUUCUUCGGGUGCAAGAAAGUAUCCGAAAAGGCUGUAUGAUGUUGAUAAAACCCCAAUUCAGAGUAGGAGCAUGAACCAUAGUUGUUUUUUGGCCAACAUUCAAACGGUGCUAGAAGCUGUCGGAGAUGAUGUUGUGUCUGAGUUGAGGGAAUCAGCUGUUGGAGUGAUUCUGAAGCUAAAAGAGUUGGAAUACACUUGGUAUGCUUCUUGUGUUCACCAUUUUCUCGCCAAUCAAUUGGCUAUCGACAACAUUCAUGAGAUGUGGUUCUUGAUAGACUGUAUGCCGCUGCGGUUUUUUUUUGUACGAGUUUGGAGAGAUUACAGGGCUAAAUUGUGAUCCUUUCGACAAGAAUGAGAUUUGGGAUGUGGAGCAUGAAAGUUUUUGGCUGGAGAUGAACGUGCCCACAUCAGAAGGACCUACAUUGAAACAACUACAAGCCCUUUUUCCUAUUUGCAGAAACUGGUCUCGAGAGAAGCGAGUGAUGAUAGGUUUGUUGUGUCUGCUAUGCAUUGGGAUAUUUGGAAUUUCAAGCAACAGCAGAAUCCCUUUACAUUGUGCUAAAAGAGUGAUGGAUCCAGCAGCUUUCCAACGAUAUCCAUGGGGAAGUGUAGGAUUUACCAGCCUUCUUGAGUCUAUUAAAGUACUCACCUAUGAUGGAAAGAAGAGUUACACACUUCAUGGUUGUGUUCGUGAGCUCUUAAUAUGGGUUUUUGAGUUUGUCCCUGGUUUAGGAGAGAAAUUUGGGAAUCGGAGAGAAGGUGCUGGUGUCCCUCUUCUGUCAUGGCGGGGAUCUCGUCCGCGUAUCAACUUCUCAGAUUUUUGUGCCCAAGAAAAGAGAACAUAUCAGAAGGUAUGUAGAGAAGUAUUAAUUUUCUGUAAUUAAAUUUAAAUUAUUUUUUAACUAAUCAUGUAUAUUACACAGGUUCGUGUGAGACACAUGGUUGAGAAGCCAAUAGAGGAUAGAUAUCCGAAGUGGGAAGAUAAUAAAGUACAUACUGAGCUGGAUAACAUGAUUCAGGACUUCCUCAAAGGUCAGCUUGAUGAAAAGUAUUGGGAAGUAAUGCCUGCUACGAAAUCGACAAAGAGAAAAAGUCACGUGAACCCACCUUGUGUUCUAGAUACCAUGGAUGUGGGUCCUUCUACUAAGCGAAAGAAGGACACAGAACAUGUCAAUGGUUGCCACACAUCAGAAACGGUAUGUAAUUAUCAUUUUGAAUGAACGUGAUAUUUCUGACCAGUGGCUUAAUUUUUCUUUUGGUCUGUGAAUUGCUUAUAGGUUGUAGCUCACAACAUCGUCAUACUUGGGUUGGUUGAGUCGGUGAAGAACCUGGCUGCAAAAAUUGAGGAAUAGAUGUUACUGUAGCUGACAAGGUUAGCGAGAAACUGGACGCAACCAUACAAGCUAAAGUGGAUGCUAUGGUGGGUUUAUAUAAGGAUGAGGUAAUGAUGAAGAUUGCCAUGUUGGUGGAAGACGUAAAGAAUCUUAAAGAGAAGGUUGGUGUCAACAUUCCUAUCGAUGUAGCCAACUCCAAUGAUCACAACUCCAUUGUGCAAGAAGAGGAUGAUGCUUCUAGCAAUGACUUGGUAUGUUUUCUGAGACUCAUCUUCUCUAUUAAUUUGUUAAUAUCACUGUCAUUGGUAUGUUUUCUGAGACUCAUCUUCUCUGUUAAUUUGUUAAUAUCACUAACACUUGUAUUCUAUUACACAGUCAUGGAUGCUUCAGAAGAAGAUAAAUUCACAAGAUGGUUUACCAAUCGAAUGUGUUAUUAAAAAGGAGAAAAAGAAGACGAUGGUGAAGCAGGAGCGUAAGACCAGUGAUGUGAAAAAUAAAGGGAAGAAAGCUGAAGUGCCAGUGAAGAAAGUAGAGAAGGAGAAAGCAUUUGUCAUCCCAGAACUAAAUGACAAAUCUAUUUCUUCAGGAGAUUGGAAGAAUCAUUUGGUGUGGGAAAAGAGUGAUAAGUGUAGACAAGUGAUGCAAGAACUUGCUUCAACUUUGGAGAAAGUAAAGGUCAGACGAAAACCCCACUUGACAAAGACUCAACUAUGGCUGUUUGUAGGGAACUCAACUGUCAAGCGUAUAAUCACUGGUGUCACUCCAUCUACGGUGUCGUACGACCCAUUUGCUAAAGUUGAGUCACAGAAAUUGGUGAAAGUUAUGGACUUUGUUAAGCGAGAUUUGUAAGUGUCUUCUCUUGCCUCUAAUAUUCUCUUCCAUCCUAUUUCUUCUUAAAUAUAUGGUGCUUGAAUGCUCUGUUUUAGGGAACAAGAGGAAUCUAGAUAUGGUGAGUUUUGCGCUCAGUUUUACUUAAAGAUAAUGGUGCCAAGAGAUGUGUGGCCAACAGAUAAGUACGGCUGGCUGUCUGACUCGGUGAGUUUUCUAAACUGAUUAUCGGCUUCACAAGAGUAAUGGCUUACAGAUUUUUAGUAAUUGUUUUCAUUGUUACAGCACAUUGCCGCAACGAUGCUCAUGUUUCACAGACGUUCCAUGCAAUCCACAUCUCCAUAUUCUUCCUCUCGAGUUGCAUUUCUAGAUCGGUGGUUCAUGAAGUCAUGGGUUAAUGACUUCGAAAAACAGGACAAGAAGAAGAUUGAGGUGUCAGAUAUGUACAUCAAGGCUUUCAAUGGAGAAUACCCGGAACAGUUUGUGACCGGGAAGAAGUGGUAUGAAGAUGUCGACAUCUUGUUCCUCUGAGACCAUGUUAACGGAGACCAUUGGGUUGCUCUACGCAUUGAUUUACGGAAGUCGACAAUCCAUGUAUAUGAUAGUAUUCCGAGUGUGGUGAAGGAACAUAAGGAGCUGACGGAGGAGUGCAGGCCAUUCAUGAAAAUGAUUCCACUGGUGCUUAACAAGAUGCUGCCUCCAAAUUCGGAAAGGAAGAAGACUGAGCAGCAGUUCGCCUUACGUAGGCACAAGGAUGCCCCCCGGAACGAUGACCCAGGAGAUUGUGGUGUGUACUCUUUGAAGUACAUUGAAUGUCUUGCUAUUGGAUGUACUUUUCAGGGCUUGAGUGAUACGAUCAUACCGGAACAAAGAAUGAAGUUGGCAGCGGAGAUCUAUGAAGAGGUGGUCGAGGUUGGUGCAGAAGGAUGAUUUACUGGUUGCUUUGACCAAUUAUAAUGUUGUAGGACGUGUAUCAUGGAUGUUUUAUUUUAGUACUUGGAGUAGUAGAUUUAACUUGGAUGGUUUUAUUUAAAUACUCUUUAGUAGUAUGAUUUGGUGGUUGCUUUGAUCACUCCUAUUUUUGUACUUGGAGUAGUAGAUUUAACGUUUCAAACUGAAUGUUUUCUUACGAUCACAAGACGUAUUGCAACACCAAACAGUAUACCAAAGACCAAAGUAAAUGAAAAGUAAUGUAUCACCAAAGACCAAAGUGUAAAUGUAUUGCAACACCAAAGAGUAUACCACUAAAUGUAGCACCAGCGUAAAUGAAAUCUAAUGACCAAAGCCUGAAACUAGAUCGAAUACUUAUCACUUAAGAGGACAUGUUUUAGAAUUAUGUCCCAUCUGGUUAUAAAUUCUACAUGUGUGUUCCUUCCUUGGCCGUUUCUUAUCUGCAACUUUCUCCAAAAUAGAUUUAUGUCUUGAUUUUUUUGGUCUUCCUGGUGGUUGACGGACAUCAGGUGGUAAACAGAUUUGCUUUGCAACUUCAUCUGGAAUUGGAACAGCAUCAUCUUUGGGCAUAACAACAUUGAAAUAUGCAUUGUAUAGGUACUGCUUCCGAUAGUAAUGGUGGCAAAGUGAUAUACGUGAUAUCUUUCUAGCUUCCGCAGCAGCUAUAGCAUGAGCACAUUGUAGCUUCUCCAAAUCAAAUCGGCGGCAAGAACAUUUCUUCUCGGUCAGAUUUACAACAUGUAAAGACGAGACUCCUGUCACCUGUGACUGAUGAAUGUCUAUUGCUUAAACCUUUAGUAGAUUAGCAAUAGGUAUCCGGCCCUGCAACAUGUUAAAGCUUAGUAUAUUAGCAGAUAUUCUAACGAAACACAUAACCUGAUUUAAAAAAUAUUACCUCCAACACUUUCUCUACACCACGAGUAAGAAUGGUUUUCAUCAACUCAGCGUCAUGUUUUCUUGUUGCAAACCAGCGUGUCAUCAUUAGUCGGAUUGACUCUAGAAGGUGAACAAUUGGCAAGCUUCUAGCACCUGACAAAGCUUUGUUUAUGGAUUCAGCUAUGUUACUUGUAAGGAGGUUAUAUCUGUCACCUCUGAAAUGAGCUUGUGCCCACUUACGUACAUCAGCACGUUCCAAAUAUGCAUGCAAAUCUGGAUUUAACUCUUUGAUUGUCUCAAAGGUUGCUUGAAAGUCAGUUAACCUAAAAGAGUUGGCUGCUUUUUUUACCAGUCCAAACAAAUCACGCCCUUUGUAUCGUAACAAGAUAUUUUUAUAUAAGUGGUACGUGCAAAUGCCCCUACUUGCCAAUGGAGAGACCACUGCAAUAGCUUUCCCUAUUGACUUGUGCCUGUCAGAGAUUAAUGCCAAUCCUUCAUCAUCGGGUAUCACACGACUGAGUUGGCGGAAAACCAUGUCCAUGAUUCAUCAUUCUCUGUGUCAACCAUAGCAAACGCAAUUGGAAAGAUUUGAAAAUUACCAUCUUGUAACGUUGCAAUCAGAAGCGUUCCUUUGUAUUUCCCUUGCAAAAAUGUUCCAUCAACCACCACCACCUUCCUCAAAUAUGGAAAGCCAGUAAUGCUAGCGCCGAAUACAAGGAAUAAGUACUUAAAUAUAUUCUCUGUAUCAACUUCCAGUCGAGUUAAAGUCCCUGGAUUUGACAUUCUAAUCAUGUGCAGGUAAGUAGGUAAUUCUUGGUAUCCAUUCUCUGAAGAACCCAUUACGAGAUCUCUAGCAGCUAUAAGUGUACGACGCGCUUUCCAAUAAUCCAUCUGCAAUAUACAAAAAAAGUAACCCAUUUAAAAGGAAGCAAAGGUCAGACAAGAAAGUAUAUUUGAGGCAAAAAUGUAGUCGACCUUUGUUCCGAAGAUCAGGUUCAUAGCACUAGAAACGUGACGUGGCAAAAUUGAUGGUCCAACCCCACCAACAUAGUCUUUGUACAAGAGUCCAAGAAUUUCAGGAGUAGCUUGUCGGGAACGAGAUGAACGUUCUGUUAUGGAGCAGGUAUGUUCCUCUACAUAUACUCGGAUUGUAAACUUUGAUGAUUCACCUACUGGUGAAGCUCUAAGCUUCCACGUACAACCUUCUAGCCAACAUUUUACACGAAACAGAUUCCUUGUAGAUUUAUCCACAUCAAAAUCGAAACGUUGGACAACUGAACAUAUCUUCAGACGUGUCUCCAAUACAUCUUUGGAAUCGAAAUUCUGUCCCACUGCAAAUUUGAAUGACCGCAAAUCAGAUAUACUCAUCGGAGGCUCUCUUUCUUGUGUCUUAACUACUCUUGCAGAAAUCAUAUUUGUAGAAGAUCCCUGGACCUCUUCUACAUGGUCUGGUGGAAUCCCGUAUGUAGUAAAGUUUUCAUCAUCAGAUGUUGCUCCAUCAGAAUCAUCACAGUAAUCGAAUCGAUCACCCUCUUCGUCUGUAUCUUCUUCGUCUUCACACAAUGGCUCAUCUCCUUGUAUGGGUUGUUUCUGAUAUUCGACAGCCCCUUUCCCACCAAUUCUGUUAACUUUAAACUCUACACAUAGUCGAACGUUUUCAACUUUGCAGAGACCCAAGAAUGCAUAAAACUGCCUAUCGUUUCCUAUUUUCACAGGUGGUGUAUCGAUGCUUUGUUUGUGUUGAUUCUGCUUUGGCAAAAGGUACCGCAAUUCCACGUCGUUUUCUGCAAAAUCAACUCCGUAAUCCUCAAGUAUGAUUUUCACAAAAUCUUCAAGUCGAGUGUCUUCAUUCGCAGCAACCAAUAUGCUUCCUCGCUCAUUAUCUACGUCAGAUAACCACUUAGUUUUCUGAACUUUCCACUUCCCAGAAACGAGAAUUAUGUGUUCCAUAACUCUCCACUCAAUAUGAAUUAAAAGAUGCAGUUGUAAAUCACCAUGAAAGUAAGAGGAAGAAGACGACAAAGAACCAAAGAACGUAAAACCUAAUUUGGAAAAAUGUGGCCGUAAUACUCUUAAACCUAAACUUAGGUUCAAAAUUGGUUUAAAUUAAUUUAAACCGAAAAUAAAUCUAAACCAAAAUUUUAAAUUAAUUAAAACCCAAUCCAGAAAAUCUAAACCGGAAUCCAAUUUAAAUUAAAUCGGAAACUAUGGGAAUUUAGCUGGAAAUUCGGAUUUUGUUCCACUCUAGUAAUUAAAAAAAAUUUCAAAAGUCUGCCGUCAAAGACGACAAUUUCUAAAAUCGGCCACCAAAUAGAUACAAAAGUCGAUUGCAAAUUUAAAUCGGGUAAACAAAUCUGUCAUAAAAACUUAAGUCUAAUACCGAUAAACAUAUCUGUCUGAAAACUCUAUCUACUCCGGAAAAAAACUGACGAUUACAAAAAAAAAGGUUAAUACAUUCGACAGACUAAAAUAGAUAAAUCUAUCGACACCCUUAAAUCAGACAUACAAAUCUGCCAUCUUAAAAACAUCUGUCGUAACACAAAAGUCUGCCACCAAAUACUUAGCAUAUAUAAAUUCAAUAGCAGUUUAAAUUAAUAGAUUUAUAUUUCGAUAGAUUUUUUUUUCGUUAGAUAAAUCUGCCGCCGGAAUUUUCUAAAUAAAUUAAAAUGGCAUUUUUGUAAUAUUCUUUUUUCAUCAUAACUAUGGAGAAGGGCAUUUUCGGCCAUAAAAUAUUUUUGGUAAUUUUAAAUUUUUAUGAAUCAUUCUAGGCAUUUCUUAAUUAAUUUGAAUCAUUCUAGGAAGUUCUUGUAUAUAUGUUCCAUUUUCGAUAUGAAUGUAUGUAACACACCAAAAAACAGUUUCUGUGAAUGGCAAAUUUGUAUAACCGUUGAAUUUCUGUGAACGGUCAACGUGGAGAAUGUUGAACUUUCUGUGAACGGCUCUCGAGCUUCCGAAAGGCAUAUAAUUAAGCGAUUAGUCACUUUCUAAGUUUCUAGAAAUUAUGAUUCAGAUUCCAGCUUUCUCCCACUUCCUUUACAUUAAGAUUCUUUAUGAAGAAUCUUUAUCUUUAGUUCCCACUCGUAAAUCAUUAUACUUAUCAUAUUAGUACCAUUAAUUUCCGCAAAACACAACGAGGCCCACACAUGCACUUAAUUGAUGUUCUUGUGGACUUAUCAUCUCAAUCAUACAUGGAUGUUUUCGGUUACUGUCGUCUAACUUCACAAUUACUUUACGGUAAAUUAAUUAAACUAUUGUUCGUUAUACACGUUCAUGUAAAGACUAUUUAAUCUAUCAAAUGGUUAUUAAAGAUUAUAGUAUAAUUAAUAUCGCUGAGAUUGAUUACGUGAAGCAACACCUUUGUUCCCAAUUAAUUACAAGCAUAUGGUAUGUUACUCACGGUUGCCCAAAAAAAGGUAUGUUACUCACAUGUAUAAGUUAGCUAGAAUCAAGCGAUAGAAUGUGAAAUGAUCGCCUGAAUAAACUGUUUUCUUUUUGUUGGAUACUACUACUUCAUUACUUUAAAUCCAUUGAAUGUAAAAGCAACCUUAAUUAUUGUUUGCAUUUAAUGAGACUAAUCCCUUAUAUAUUAAUUGAGGAACAUUUGAAAAGAUGUAACCUCAAUUUUGUAUUAAUUAAAAGAGGCUCCAAUGCAUAGGUGGCACUCAAUUAGGUAGUCAAUUACAUUCAAUUGAAAAAUAAGUAGGUCCACAUUCGAUUUUUAUAUGUUGUUAGAUACAUAAGUUGGUCAAACUAUAUGAUAUAAUGAUAUGAUAUGAUAUUUUCUUUCCUUAAAUAAAACCUACGGAAUUACCAUAAAUGACUAAUAUAUAUAUGACAAUUAAUGAGUUUAAUAAUAAAGAUUUGAUAACAAUGUAUAUCUCCUCCAUCAUUUUUUGUUUAAUUUUAUAUUAUUAAAAUAAAUUAAACAAUCAAAUUAGCUAUAAAAAUAAAAUUUAGAUUUUUUCGUAUAUGUUAUAUUUUGAAUUUUUAAAAACGACAAUAAAUGACUAAAACUAUUAAAAUUAUUAUGUUAAAAAUUAAUGAUCAAUAGUUUAACAUUUUUAUUAUAAGAAGAUACACAUGAUUUUAAAACCAUAUGAGUAAAAAAUAUCAUUUAAUAAUAAAACAUAUAUAUAUAUAUAUAUUAAACACUAUAUACCAUAAGAUUACAUAAAUAUUUUAAUAUUAAAACUUUCAAUGAAUUUUCAAGAACAUUUAUAAAUUAUAAACUUAUUAAAGAUUUCAGAUUGAAAAUUUUGUUAUCGAUGAUUUAAAUAUUUUGUUAUAAAACGAUAUGAACGAUCAUAGAACCGUAUGAUUAUAAAUUCUUAUUUAAUAAAUAACUAUACAAAAUAUACUAUUCCUAGAAAAAUAGGUUGGUCCAUCUUAACUUAUAUUACACUUUUUAUUAAACUAACUAUCGAAUUGAUAAAUAACGUACCAAAAAAUGUUUUGCACUUUCCUUAAAUAAAAGCUACGAAAUUACCUAAUAUGAUUAACGUAUAUGUGAAAAUUAAUUAUAAUGAAUAAUAAAUAUUUGAUAACAAUUUUUGUAUCUUAGUUCUUUUUUUAAUUUUAUAUUAUUAAAAUAUAUUUAAAAAUCACAUUAAAUAUAUAAUAAAAACAUUUAUAUUUUUUCUUAUAUGUUAUAUUUUGAAUUUUUCAAAACGUCUAUAUAUUAUUAGAAAUUUGAAUAUUCCCACUCUGAAAAUUUUGUGAUCAAUAGAUUAUUUUUUUGUUAUAAUAAGUUACAAAUGAUCAUAAAAUAUAACGCAUAUGAAUUUUUAUUUAAUAAAUAUUCAAACUAAAUAAUAUAUAUAUAUAAACACUAAUGAUUUAAAGCAACAAGAUUGGCUGAUCAAUUUAGUCGUCCAGUUGAAAUCUUUCAAAAGUAUGUGAAAGACUAAAGUCAAAGUAAAUAUUGAUUUAAAAUAGUAGUUAUAUUUUACUAACCAAAUACCGAAAAAAACCGAACCGAACCGAAACUAACCCGAUAUCCGAGUUGAACACCCGUAAUCCAAAUGAAGCCAAACUAUUGUUUCAUUCUCCAAAAUAUAAUAAAAAUAAUAACUUAAUCCCGCGCAAGGCGCGGGUCUUAUCCUAGUAUUCAUUAUAUGGGCAAAUGAAAACUACAAUCACGCAUUAGUUAAUAUAAUGAGCAAAUUGCAUACAUGUGUUAUCAUUGAACAUUUAAAAUAAUUGAAACUUUAGUUUAUGUCACAAACUAAUUUAUAAGCAUCUCACAGCCAUGCAUAAUUUGACACCUUGAUACACAACUUAAUGAAUAGUUGAGUGGAAUAAAUUUCCUUUUAUUCCCCUUUGAUCGUGCUAAAAUCGGUGUGUGAAAGAGAGAAGAAAACACAUAAAAUAACAAUAAUACUCCUUUGCCAGCUGAUGUGUCGCUAUCUGACUGGAUAAUGAAACAAAUGGAAUAGGGUCCCCAAAAUGAAGAUAUAUUUGGAUGAGUGGAUUGCUUCUUACGUUUAGCAACCUCCACUAGAGACUUUCAUGAGCAAAGAAGAGUGGCUAUAAAGGACCGGCCAUUAUCAUGAUAUUGAGUGACACUUCUAAUAACGUGAGGGAGAAGAAGAGAGCAAAAAUGAGCUUUAAUAGGAUGAAUAUCAUAAUAAUCCUUUGUGUAUGUCUCAACUGGGACUGUAGCGAGGGAGCUCAAGAAAAACAGAGGAGGGCGAUUGAUUCUCAUACUAUCCAACUCAGCUCUCUCUUCCCUUCAUCGUCAUCACCUUGUGUUCUUUCUACAAGAGGUAAAUAUUCCCUUGGCCAAUUCAAUUUCUGAUGAAUUCUAGUUAUAUACAUAAGAUAGAUGAAUAUAGCAUAUAGCGUACUAUAUAUAUGUUAUUUAGUCCUUUUAUGUACUUACGUUAUUGGUGUCCUUAUUAUGUAAAGAUCAUAUAGACGUAUACUUUAGUUGUUAAGUAUUAAUUAAGUUACAAGUAAGACCAAAUUUUUGCAUUAACAUUACCAUCACAUGAUAAUAGAAAGUGAUAUAGUUAGAUGUUUAUUGCUUGAGAAACAUAUAGCCGUGAUUAAUAUUUUGCUAGCUGCCUAGCUAGUUAAUUAGUGAGUUAAUAUGAAUACAACUAUGUUUUAGACUCCAAUAGUUGAUAAUAUUACAAGAAAUUUUUCUAUUUUACAUUGUUUGAUAAUAUAUGAAUAAUAAAUUAAAAUACAUCAACAACCACAAAAUAAUGUUUAUUUUUUAACAGAAUCUGUGGGCAUUUUAUUGCUGUUUCUAACGUGAACUUAUCUACUCAGCUUCCAGUACAAAGUCCUCACUGCACGUGACGCACAGACACGGCACGUGCUCGCGUAUAACCAAUGCAAAAGCCAAGAAUCCAGACCAUGCCGAGAUUCUUAGACUGGACCAAGCGCGCGUCAACUCGAUACAUUCGAAACUAUCGAAGAAGCUCACAGAUCGAGUCAGGCAAAGCAAGUCAACGGAUCUACCUGCUAAAGACGGAAGCACCUACGGUUCAGGAAACUUCGUCGUAACCCUCGGAAUCGGAACACCGAAACACGAUCUGUCUCUGAUCUUCGACACAGGAAGCGACCUGACGUGGAUUCAAUGCGAGCCAUGUGUUCGAACUUGCUAUUCCCAAAAGGAACCAAUCUUUAACCCGUCUUCCUCUUCCUCAUACCACAACGUGUCUUGCUCAUCGGCUGAGUGUAGCUCACUCUCUUCCGCUACAGGUUUUUUCUUUUUCUCAAUUAUUGUAAAUCCGGUUUAAGAUUUCUGAUCCGGUUAUGUUAACCGUUUCCGGUUAGGUAAUUCCGGAACAUGCUCGGCUUCGAACUGCGUCUACGGUAUUCAAUACGGCGAUCAAUCAUUCUCCGUUGGCUUUCUCGCUAAAGAAAAGUUUACUCUAACGGCUUCUAACGUAUUCGACGGCGUUAACUUCGGCUGCGGUGAGAACAACCAAGGACUCUUCACCGGAGUCGCCGGACUUCUCGGCCUUGGCCGUGACAAGCUCUCUUUCCCGUCGCAGACGGCGGCGACCUACAACAAGAUCUUCUCCUACUGCCUCCCUUCUUCCGCUAGCUACACCGGUCAUCUCACCUUCGGAUCCGCCGGAGUCUCCAGAUCCGUUAAAUUCACUCCGAUCUCCACGAUCACCGACGGCACAUCCUUCUACGGUCUCGACAUCGUCGGAAUCUCCGUCGGCGGUCAGAAACUGGCGAUUCCUCCGACGGUGUUCUCCACUCCGG